UCUUUAUUGGGCUUCAAGACCAGGGGAUUGGGACCUGCUGAACCUAGAAGGCAAGUUGUAGAGAAUUCCAGUGAUGAGAGCUAUGAUGCAGCUUCCACAAUGGAUUUUGUGGGAGGAGAUCUUGCUGUUACUGCUUUUGCGGACCUUUCUUUUGAUCUACCAUUGCGGGUAUUAAGAGAAGCUGGAAUUCAUGGCCAUGCUUUUGCUUGUACCGGAAGCCUGAACAAAUUAACAGAAAAUGCGUAUAAAGAUUUGUCUUUACAUGCAAUGGAUUUUGUGGGAGGAGAUCUCGCGGUUACUGCUUUUGCGGACCUUUCUUUUGAUCUACCAUUGCGGGUAUUGAGAGAAGCUGGGAUUCAUGGCCAUGCUUUUGCUUGUACCGGAAGCCUGAACAAAUUAACAGAAAAUGCGUAUAAAGAUUUUUCUUUACAGAAAUUCCAAGAAUCAUUCCG
rnacentral:lncRNA from 1 species